rnacentral:rRNA from 1 species
GUAAUACAUAAGUAACCUGCCCUAGACAGGGGGAUAACUAUUGGAAACGAUAGCUAAGACCGCAUAGGUACGGACACUGCAUGGUGACCGUAUUAAGAGUGCCUCAAAGCCCCAUGGUAGAGGAUGGACUUAUGGCGCAUUAGCUGGUUGGCGGGGUAACGGCCCACCAAGGCGACGAUGCGUAGCCGACCUGAGAGGGUGACCGGCCAUACUGGGACUGAGACACGGUCCAAACUCCUACGGGAGCAGCAUG